rnacentral:rRNA from 1 species
UACGUAGGGACCAAGCGUUGUUCGGAUUUACUGGGCGUAAAGGGCGCGUAGGCGGCGCGGUAAGUCACUUGUGAAAUCUCUGAGCUUAACUCAGAACGGCCAAGUGAUACUGCAGUGCUAGAGUGUGGAAGGGGCAAUCGGAAUUCUUGGUGUAGCGGUGAAAUGCGUAGAUAUCAAGAGGAACACCCGAGGUGAAGACGGGUUGCUGGGCCAACACUGACGCUGAUGCGCGAAAGCCAGGGGAGCAAACGGG